GUGCACGCUGGCGGUAGGCCUCACACCUGCAAGUCGAACGGCAGCACAGUAAGAGCUUGCUCUUACGGGUGGCGAGUGGCGGACGGGUGAGGAAUACAUCGGAAUCUACUUUUUCGUGGGGGAUAACGUAGGGAAACUUACGCUAAUACCGCAUACGACCUACGGGUGAAAGCAGGGGAUCUUCGGACCUUGCGCGAUUGAAUGAGCCGAUGUCGGAUUAGCUAGUUGGCGGGGUAAAGGCCCACCAAGGCGACGAUCCGUAGCUGGUCUGAGAGGAUGAUCAGCCACACUGGAACUGAGACACGGUCCAGACUCCUACGGGAGGCAGCAGUGGGGAAUAUUGGACAAUGGGCGCAAGCCUGAUCCAGCCAUACCGCGUGGGUGAAGAAGGCCUUCGGGUUGUAAAGCCCUUUUGUUGGGAAAGAAAAGCAGCGGGUUAAUACCCCGCUGUUCUGACGGUACCCAAAGAAUAAGCACCGGCUAACUUCGUG
rnacentral:rRNA from 1 species